rnacentral:piRNA from 1 species
UCUCCAGUGACCAUGGGUUCGAGAUGCUGC